UGGUUAGCUCACGCGAGGCUCCCUCUGUAACGAGGAUUAAUAUCCUUCUUCCAUUUAACAAGAGACUUACGAGACGCAGAUGUAAUCGUCCUAACCCCGGUGGAGAAAGAACGAGCGAUGAGAAAAUUUAUUCGAACGGCCCAUUGGAUAAAUCUCUCCGUGCCACCAACGAAUCUUAACGGAGUAAUCGCGGCAGAUAUCAUUAGAUUAAUGGCAAAUGAUCCUGCGACCCGCGACACUGGAUCUCUCUUCAGUGCGCUUGUGCUCCGAGAGGAUUGCGCGGAGAAAAACUGAUAACGAAACAGGAAACGACGAAUGGAACGAGAGGAUUAACACGGAGUCUCGAUUCACUGUGUUUAGAUAUAAUUUCAAUGGUUCUUCGUUUCGAAGAUUAUUUAACCACGUUUGCGGUCUGUAUCGUUUCUACUGUCGUUUUAAAGUGAUUCAUGAUUGCUGACCAAUUUACGAAUGUUGUUUGCAAUUUCGUCUUAAUUCUCUAAUUUUUCCAGGAAAAUUUAUAUGUAUAUAUGUUAAUGAGAAAAAUAUUUUUAUUAAUCUUUAUUAUAUCAAUAGCAAAAUUUGUUGGAUAUUACCUAAUUUUAAUAAUUUUCGGUGGUUAAAAUCAUUAAUCGAUCGAUUUGUAAAGAUAGUGGAUAGUCGAAUAUUAAUGCAGAGGUUAAGAUAAAUCGUACUGUGAAUAAUCGUAUCAAGAUUCGUGUCUGUAAAUAUUUUUCUUAGAAUGCAAAUAUAUUUUACAAUAGAAUUUUUCAGAGUUAAUUUUUAAUAUUUUAUUUUUUCAAAUAUUUAAUGCAGUAUUGAAAGUUUUUAUAUCUAUAAAAAUAGUUUCAAGAGCUAUUUAAUGAAAAGUGUUCUUUCAAAUUUUAAUAUUUUGAAACAUUAAAAAUGUUGGAUGGAAAUUUCAAUUUUAGGUUAACUCGAAUUCAAAGUUUUCAAACUUACAAAAUAAGAAUUAGAGAAGAAGUUUAUUUCAAUAAAUUAUGUCAUGAACCUAAGAUUUUAUUAAAAUAAUAUUCAAUCUUAUUUCAGAAAAUUUUUUAUAAUAAUAAAAAUAUCGAUAUAAUUUAUCGAUCGAGUUACGAAACGAGUUAUUCAUUAAUAUGUUUUCUUUCACCUAUAUUCAGACGAUCACGUGGUACAAAAUAGUGAUACUAAACUAUUAACGACUUAAUUAACGUUACACAAAAUAUAAUUAAUUUUUUAUCUUUUCUUUCUCAAAAAUUAAUUUGCACGAAUAAAUCGCAUUUAUCGAAGUACGUAUUUAGACGAAUAACAAAAUAAUAAAAGUCUCGUGCAAGAAUGGAAGAUACGAAUCUAUGUUGCUAAAAAUAAAAAUGACAAAAAUGUAAACUGUUAAACUGGCUCUUAAUUUAUAUUGAUUGAGAUAAAAAUAUCAAGUAUUUAUAUAUAUAUAUAUAUAUUUAUAUAUCCAUUUAAAAAAAAACAAAAAAGAUAACAUUCAAUUGACUUUUAUUCAAGAUAAACAAAUGAAAAUAAUGAUACUAAUAAUGAUUUAACUUUCAUGUAAAACAUUUCUCGUUAUCGAGUAAUGAUAGAAAUAAGAAAAUCAAGAUAUCAAAAUCAAGUAAGGUAUCCAAUAUAAAAUUUUCAUUUCUAAAAUACUAUAAUACAUACACCAUUCUCUAUCCAUUUAUUCCAUUGCAAUCUUUCCUCACAUAUAAUGGUCAAUAAUAAUUGAUAUAAAACUGAUGUUAAAAUUAAGCAAACAUGUUAAGAAACCGAGAAAAAGAAUGACCGAAGAAAGGCAAAUAAAAUACAAAAAAAGGAAAAAAAAGAAAAAUAUAAUUACAUUUAGAAUUUCUUCUUUAGAAUUUUAUCAAGGCUCUCCAUCCUAAAGAGCAUAAAGAGCACCUCUAUUAUCGUGAUUUGAAUGCAAUGCGAAUCUUUGAUGUUAAAAUUAAUCAAACACAUCAAGAAAUAAAUAAGCGAAGAAAUUGCAAAAAAAAAGAAAAGAAAAAUAUAAUUAUAGUCGUCAAUUCCGUAGAAUUUUGUCAAGGUUUUCCGCACAAAGAGCGACUCUAUCAUCGUGGUCUGAAAGAUAAUAUGCGACCGCAUAAUUGCGAGUUGGUUAGGUGAAAUUCGCUAGGAGGUGAGCAACCAGUCGCGGAAGGGGUUAAUAAUAAGAGUCAACCGGUAUUUCCACGUCUUAUUACGAACGAGUAGAUUGGGAUGAAGCGGAAAGGCACACGGUGAAAACGUGCCUCGGUAUCCCUGGGGUUGCAACGAGUCAUUAAUGCUUUCAGACAAAACACUUCUGCCAGCUGCGAUUACUCGUAUGUGCGAUUUAUUAUGUUUAUUCGAGAUAGAAUAACAAAACGAUGGAUAACUUUUUGGAGAACUCCAUAAUUAAUAUUUUAGCUCUAGAUAAUUUUUUUUUUCAAAUUUUGAACAUUUGGUGAAAUAUUAUAUGUUAAAUGUAAAUUGUAGGUUGAGAAACACUGUAUUAAUCGAAUCAUUGUAAAAAAUAAUAAAUACAUUGUCUCUAAAA